rfam:Gymnopus luxurians FD-317 M1 unplaced genomic scaffold GYMLTscaffold_21, whole genome shotgun sequence.
GCCCGCCUAGCUCAAUCGGAUAGAGCGUCAGACUUUUACGGCGGGUUAAAAACUUGGAAAAUCUGAAGGCUGCGAGUUCGACCCUCGCGGUGGGCU